rnacentral:tRNA from 1 species
GGCCGGUUAGCUCAGUUGGUUAGAGCGUGGUGCUAAUAACGCCACGGGCACGGGUUCAACUCCCGUACGGGCCA